AAGUAUGUGACCUUAUCUUUUUAGAAAUGUAUGGAAAAAUCUUUGCCAGCAUUCAGCUGUUUCAAUUAAGAAGCACAGAUCUUCACUGCAGAGUACAUUGAACAUAUUAAGAACAUUCAGUUGUGGUUGGGCUUCUAACCUUGCUCAACUCCAGCAUUAGCAAAGGGAUUCAGUUUCCUGAAUUCAUUAAUAGUGUUUUGCAGCCAUUACCAUACUAGUUUAAAUACGGGCAGUCGUAUAGAAAAAAUAUACACAAAAGAUGUAAGCAGGGGGAAAAAGGAGAUAUUUAUUUGUUCUGGGAGUGCCACGGAAAUCCAAUUGCUCAGAAAUGAAAUAAGAGUCUGAAGUGAAAGGAGGGAAAACCUAAGCUUGGGUCAGGGAAGAGGCAGUGAUUAGCUCCAUUGUUAGGAGCUCUUUGAGCUUCGUUGGUUGUAAAGAAAAACCCACUAAUGAAUCUAUUGAAGCUUGCCAGAACUUUGUGUGGAAGACAACUUAAGUUAUGGUGCUUAUCUAAAAAAAUGGUAGUAAAAUAUGUGGAUAUAUAAAACAUAGCACAUAUGUCUCUUUAUUAACAGCUUGCCCAUAAAAACAAAAAAAAGUUUAAAGAUAUUGUGUUGCACAAAUGACUGAUUUAACAUGCAUAUGUUUAAUUCAGUAUUUACAGGUCUUGAAAAAAAUCACCUAACUGAUGAUAAGAUAUAAGAAAGUAUGUCCUAUGAUAGUUUAAAUACGGGGAAACAGGCAGAAAUAGAAUACAGCUAAUCUCUUCUUGGUUUUCUACCAGUAGUUGCAAAGAAAGAUGGGUUUAAAAGUCAAGUCAGAAGGCUUUUUCAUGUUUUGCAUAUUUUAAGUACGCUGAAAGCAUUUCAUUAAGAAAUGUAAUCAACUGACAUUAAAAGUAACAGACUUUGGAUAAAAGGACCGAUAUGACUGUGUACUGUACA
rnacentral:lncRNA from 1 species